rnacentral:rRNA from 1 species
GUUGCGGUUAAAACGUUCGUAGUUGAACUUGUGCUUCAUACGGGUAGUAUAACUAUAAUUGUAGUCUGUACUAUACCUUAUGUAUGUAAGCGUAUUACCGGUGGAGUUCUUAUAUAUAUUAAAUACUUGUAUUUAUAUGUAUUCCUCCUAUUUAAACCUGCUUCAGUGCUCUUCAUUGCGUGCUGUUGUAGGCCGGUACAAUUACUUUGAACAAAUUAGAGUGCUUAAAGCAGGCUCCAAAUGCCUGAAUAUUUUGUGCAUGGAAUAAUGAAAUAAGACCUCUGUUCUACUUUCAUUGGUUUUUAGAUCAAGAGGUAAUGAUUAAUAGAAGCAGUUUGGGGGCAUUAGUAUUACGACGCGAGAGGUGAAAUUCUUGGACCGUCGUAAGACUAACUUAAGCGAAAGCAUUUGCCAAAGAUGUUUUCAUUAAUCAAGAACGAAAGUUAGAGGUUCGAAGGCGAUCAGAUACCGCCCUAGUUCUAACCAUAAACGAUGCCAGCUAGCAAUUGGGUGUAGCUACUAUUAUGGCUCUCUCAGUCGCUUCCCGGGAAACCAAAGCUUUUGGGCUCCGGGGGAAGUAUGGUUGCAAAGCUGAAACUUAAAGGAAUUGACGGAAGGGCACCACCAGGAGUGGAGCCUGCGGCUUAAUUUGACCCAACACGGGAAAACUUACCAGGUCCGAACAUAAGCGUGUAAGACAGAUUGAUAGCUCUUUCUCGAAUCUAUGGGUGGUGGUGCAUGGCCGUUCUUAGUUCGUGGAGUGAUUUGUCUGGUUAAUUCCGAUAACGAACGAGACUCAAAUAUAUUAAAUAGAUGCUUUCAGGAUUAUGGUGUUUGAAGCUUUUAUAGCCUUCAUUCAUGAAUGCAGUAACAUGUGUGAGUGUUUGAAUGUGUUUAUAAAGGUGGAGCCGUACCUGUUGGUUUGUCCCAUUAUAAGGACACUAGCUUCUUAAAUGGACAAAUUGCGUCUAGCAAUAAUGAGAUUGAGCAAUAACAGGUCUGUGAUGCCCUUAGAUGUCCUGGGCUGCACGCGCGCUACAAUGAAAGUAUCAACGUGUAUUUCCUAGACCGAGAGGUCCGGGUAAACCGCUGAACCACUUUCAUGCUUGGGAUUGUGAACUGAAACUGUUCACAUGAACUUGGAAUUCCCAGUAAGUGUGAGUCAUUAACUCGCAUUGAUUACGUCCCUGCCCUUUGUACACACCGCCCGUCGCUACUACCGAUUGAAUUAUUUAGUGAGGUCUCCGGACGUGAUCACUGUAACGCCUUGCGUGUUACGGAUGUUUCGCAAAAGUUGACCGAACUUGAUUAUUUAGAGGAAGUAAAGGUC